rnacentral:ncRNA from 1 species
GAUAACAGGUUGAUUUUCCUCAAGAGUUCACAUUGACAGAAAGAUUUGGCACCUCGUCAGCUCUUCGCCACCUAGGGCUAUAGUAUGUUUCAUGGGUUGCGGUACGUGAGCUAGGUAAUGGGAUCCC